rnacentral:lncRNA from 1 species
AUUGACAGAACCUGGGCUAGAAUUCUAGUUUGACUCCAGAGACUAACCUUCUAACCAUUGUGCUGUGCCAAUUCAUUCAUUCACUUAACACGGAUUUAAUUCGCACUAAUUGUGUGUCAUCACUGCUCUAGGCCCUAGGGCUACAGCAAUCAGGAUCUUCACCCAGUGAAACCUGACACUCUGUGAGUCUCUGGAAGGAAGGCCUCUGGAGCCCACGGAAUAACAAUGGGCAAUAAAUCCAUUUGCUAGGAGGAUCAUUUGAGCAUAGGGAGUGUGUGAAAAGUUGAAGCCACAGGCAAGAGGGCAGUAGUAGCAUUUGAACUCAACACUGACAGGGCUGUGUGUGCUUGUAUAGGUUGUGGCCCAUGCUCCCAUACUUGAAGCGGAGAAAGUACCCUAACUGAUAUCAGUAACCCUAUGAAGGACACCCACCUGGGGCCCUUGGAACCACAGGCCAGCCUAAAGUUUUUCCAGUGCCCCGGGGCCUGCCUGCCUUUUUUGCUAUUAGCAGCUGGAUGUGUGAAGCUCUUGGCUCCCUGCCAGGAACCCUAUGGGGCGGGUCACAGGUGGGGCUGAGCUCACCCUUCCUAUAGAUACAUUUCCCCCUUGUAAAGAGUAAAGGAUACUGAUCAAAGGACACCUGGGCCCACUUGCUUGCUAGGGAGACACGGGGGAGCUGAAAAGGAAGAGGGAGGAGGGGACUGGGGCGGGCUGGAGCUGUGCUGUGAUUGAUUGGCUUGUUUUGCUCUUGCUCUUCUGUUUACCCAGCUGGGCCUGCUGCUGCCCAGGGUAUCGGCAUGUGCCUGGCCACUGUGGCCAGUCUUUGGGGGCAGUGUCAGCGAGAACUAUGGACUCAGGCAGCUCCUGGCAAAACUGAAGCUGGGCGGGGGUGGGGGGGAUGUGGGGGUUGUAGUUUAUGUCUGCAACUUUGUUUCUCCACUGACCUUUUCCCACCUUCAGGAACUCACCCCACCCCCACGCCCGCCUGGUGCCAAGGAGUUGUAUACACCACAGUUUCGGCUACAAAAUCCUUCCUCUUAGUGGAACCUACUGUCACUCAGGCAUCUAAGACAGUAACAGGUUCCAAAGUCUUCUCCUUGCUGGCUUUCAGGACUCGUUGGUAA